GUCCACACAGUAAACGAUGAAUACUCGCUGUUUGCGAUAUACAGUAAGCGGCCAAGCGAAAGCGUUAAGUAUUCCACCUGGGGAGUACGCCGGCAACGGUGAAACUCAAAGGAAUUGACGGGGGCCCCGCACAAGCGGAGGAACAUGUGGUUUAAUUCGAUGAUACGCGAGGAACCUUACCCGGGCUUGAAUUGCACUCGAAUAUGGUUGAAAGAUCAUAGCCGCAAGGCGAGUGUGAAGGUGCUGCAUGGUUGUCGU
rnacentral:rRNA from 1 species